ACAGAGGGGGCGAGCGUUGUUCGGAAUUACUGGGCGUAAAGCGUGCGCAGGCGGUUUUGUAAGCCAGAUGUGAAAGCCCCGGGCUCAACCUGGGAACUGCGUUUGGAACUACAAGACUAGAGUGUGUCAGAGGGGGGUGGAACUCCGCGUGUAGCAGUGAAAUGCGUAGAGAUCGGAAGGAACAUCUGUGGCGAAGGCGGCAUCCUGGGCCAACACUGACACUGAGGCACGAAAGCGUGGGGAGCAAACAGGA
rnacentral:rRNA from 1 species